UACGGAGGGUGCAAGCGUUGUCCGGAUUUAUUGGGUUUAAAGGGUGCGUAGGCGGCCGAUUAAGUCUGGGGUGAAAGCCCGUUGCUCAACAACGGAACUGCCCUGGAAACUGCUCGGCUUGAGUACAGACGAGGUUGGCGGAAUGGAUGCUGUAGCGGUGAAAUGCAUAGAUAGCAUCCAGAACCCCGAUUGCGAAGGCAGCUGACUAGGCUGUAACUGACGCUGAGGCACGAAAGCGUGGGGAGCGAACAGG
rnacentral:rRNA from 1 species